ensembl:lncRNA
CGGAUGCGGCCAGACCUUCUCACCCUCCCGAGGAGGCUGACAUGUGGCUUAGAAGUUGGAAGGGUUGCAUGUUUGUGGUUAGCCUAGGCUUAUGCUUUAGAGGAUGCUUUGCCCCUGAUGACUCUCUGUGGGGCUGCUCUUGAGGAUAGAUGCGCAGCAGUGUAGCAAAGCAGUGCCAGAUUUCCAGAUGCUGGCAUUUACUGUGGUUUCUGAGGAAGCUCCUCACCACAAAAGCACACUUUUUUUUUAUUUUUCCCUGAGCAGCUCUUGGUACAGGUAAACUCAUCUCUUCCUUGGGCUGCAAGUGGUGAAAAGUGUUCCUAAUGCCACGUCUGGCAAGUGCAAUGAGCAACCGUGGCCUCCCAGCACCCAGCCCCCACGCGGCAGAUGGAGCUGAGCAAGAGGGAGUUUUGCGUUGCUUCUUGUCUUUCAAGGAAAUAAUUCCUGAAGAGGAGGGAGGGCUCCACUCCGGGUAGAUAAACAGUCCUGUUGAGCCAGACCUCUCACAUUUCUGUUCUUGCAGUACACGAGACAGCGUCCUGUGGGAUUGCACGAAGAGGGCUGUUGAGCUGGUGGGAGCAGAGUGAGAGCCCCAAGCUGCUGCCAUGCAACCUGGCUCUCAUCUCAAACAGGGUGAGACUUGGCACAGCUGUAUGUGAGUGCAGGGAAAGGCUUGCAGCCCAUUACAGGACUGCAUAAGAGCUGAGGAUGUGACAGAGCUGCAGAUCUGCCUGGAAGAUUCCCAUAGCAGGUGUAAGCAAGGGCCAGAGCUGAAAUAGUGGGAGCAGCAGUACCUAGGUAGGAUGGGAGAGCUGCAGUGGAGGUGCCAGCCCAGGAGGAGGAUGGGCUGCUUGGAGUUCCACGCAGAAGCAUGGCACAUGAGAGGGAAGGAAAGAUGAGAUGUUCAAAAGGGGUCUUGGCAGAGCCACAGGAGAAGACCCAGCAUGGUUCAGGAGAGGACACACACUGCCCACCGGGAAAGGCUUGUGGGCAGAAACAGCGGAAAGCACUGCCUUCAAAGCUGUACCUCUCCAGGUGAGCCAAGCGAGACAAGGCGGAAAUGAACCACAGCCUAGGAGUGCAUUGGGUCCUGCAUGAGGACAGCACGCUGACCUGAAGAUGACAUUCGGUGCCAUUCCCUGCGAGCAGGACACUCGCGGUGCUUUGUGGCGACAACACCGCAGCGCGAAGGCACCUGGAGGGCGUCCUGUCGUCAGCUACCCAGCAAACGGAGCCUGGGGAAAGGCCGGGACAACCUCGAGCGACGCCAAGCUCCGGCAGCCCCGUUCUGCUCCGUGACCCCUCCCCGCACGGCCGGGGGAGGCCGCACCGCCGCUCCCCGAGCGCCCUCUGCUGCCUCUCCGGGGCUGGAGCAGGUGCACGGCCCGGGACUCUCCGGGGCCGCUCCUCGCCGCCCUGCGGCCAUUUGCAGUGGCCGUAAUACCGCCCUCGUCCCCUCCUCCUCUUUCCCACCCUAUACCCUAUGAGCCAACGAGCGGAUAGCCCGGGUCCUCCCUGACUUCGCCAGGUGCUUUUCCUCGGGUGCUUUGCGGACCGCGGAGCAAACGCCAAAAAAAAAAAAAAAAAAAAAGCGGGCUCAAUUCGCAGCUUAGCAUCUUUGAAAGCCUUCUUAGAAGAGAUACGAUUUCUAAGGGAGGAGCUGAGCGAAGGCCCCUUUGAAAUCACUGACCCAGAUGAAGCGACACCCGAGCCCCUAUGCCCGCUGCAGCCGCUACCGCCACACUGCUCUCCUUUCAGCAGCGUUUUGCUCGGAGGAAAUGAAAGCAUCGGAAAAGGAAACGGGGCUGAAAAGGCUCAGAUCCCAAGCGAGCGGGCUUUUGUUUUCCUAUUGUGCUAGCCCAGCUGAGCCUGUGUUGGAGCAGAGCCCUCCUGCAGCUGGGCCCAAAAACAGCAGCCAAAGAGAAACCCCGGCAACCGGCAGUGCAAAAGGAGAGGGAUGGGCAGAGCCUGCAGAACUCGACCCUGGUGGGGAGGAGAGGUGAGGGGCUGCUUCUGCACAUCCCAAGGGUUGCUGGGGCCGAAAGUGGCUUUGGAAAAACACCGCUGCACAUUGGUGAUACAUGUGCUGCUUCACAUGCAGAGCUGGAGGUAUAGCUGCCAUUUCUGCCGAAAUCCUUCCUUGAGGGCAUGCCUGAAACAACUGGGCUCUGCAAGAGUGAGCACUGUCCAGAGCGCAGCCCUGCUAGCUCGGUGUUGGCACAGGGACAGCACUGCUUUCUCUUCCAGUAAGCAAGGGGUUAAACUCAGCCUGGCUUCCCCUGUGUGCCCUGUUUGGGGAAUGGUCUCGUGGGUACCCAACCAGUGACAAGGUGCCUGUAGAAGGGAGUCCGUUGCUCAGAGGUUGAUAUAAAAAGGGAUGAGUCUGGUAAGGUUGCCUCAUGGCUUUUCUUGCCUUUCUUAGGCAGAACAGAUCUGCUGGAAGCGUUAAGUAGCGCUCAAUGCAAAAGCAGCACCGGACUCACAGGGAUGCUGAGCUUUGCCAUAUACCUACUGCAGCUGGGUUCAUGGUCCCCUCUUGGGUUCCAUCUGCUUGAGCUGAAGGUGGUGUUGUCCUUUGUGACCAAAAAGGCUGCCUCUGAUGUUGAAGCCGCUGUCAGCCCAGCUGACACAGCAGAGGUGACAGAAACCUUUUCCUCUCACUUGGGUGAUGCUGGAGAAUGACGCCUAAGGACUGUGCCCUUCAGGAACCUUGCUGAGCCUCUCCUGGCCUAACUCUGAAAAGCAUGACAUAACUGAAGCUGGGGACACAGACUCCAGUGCUUAUGGUGAUUUAUUCGUUCCCAGACUGAGGGUUUGUCUCCCCGAAUUCUUACUUUAAUGAGGCUGCGAUCACAGAAUCAUAAGUAUGGCUUGGGUUGGAAGAGACCUCGAAGACCACCCUUCUCAUGGGCAGGAUUGUCACCCACUAGAUCAGGUACUAGAUCAUUACAGAAGGACUCUGCCUGCUAACCCUGCUACUUACCACUGCCACAGCUAGUAACUUUAAGAGCAGAAUGACACUGCUGUUGUUAUUGCCCUGCCAUGCAAAUAUCUGUCUGGGUAAGGGACCCGGCUUUAGUUUUCCAGUCUCAUAGCAUUUGGUGAAUUUUUGGUGGCCCUUCUUCCUGGAUUUGUGUUAUUGCAUGAAUGUUUUUAUUUAUUUUUGGAGAGAGGGCUUUUACGCUGCAUAAUUACUGAGGGGAAAAAGGCUUCAUCCUUAACGGCUCCCCAAAGUAAAUAAAUUAAAAGAACUGGCACUCAAAAACUUCUCUUUAUGCUAAUGAUAGGAGAGACUGAUGACUUGGGGCCUCUGAACUCCUGGAGUCAAACAACAUCGCUUCCACUUCCUGAAAUGAGUUUUCCUUUAAGGAUCUGCGUGUGUUUUCUCCGGCUGAUUAAGGCUCUACAAUGUUUUAUUCAUGCUCAACCCGGGAUUAUCAGCAGUGUUUUACAUUUCAAACCAACCAUUUCCAAGACUUCCUCAGCUCAGGGAAGCUGUGCUUCCUCAGUGCAGCUCGGGGCUAUUCCUAGAGAAGGUGGCUCAGCUAUUACUGCUUGUUACCCUCGCUCACUAACCUCUGUAAUGAACUGUACAGCCUUUGCUGGCUCGUUUGCCUUUUCUAUGUUGCUUUUUGUUUUUUCUUUCCCUUUUUAACAUUCCCAAAACUCUAUGGCAAGUGAUCAUCUUUGUAUGAGUCAGUGCUGAAGCAGUGAAGUGUCAGAUUUUAUCCAAAGAAGGAGCUGCACGUCGGCGCAGGGUGAAGCAUUUCUUGGGUAUACACGAGUAUCUCAAUAGCAACGUUCAGACAUCCACGGCUGGCCAGGCUGUUUCUGCCUGACCCGGGGCCACAUGGAGCUCUAUGGUGACCACUUCCAUUUCCAAAGUGUCACCAUUCCUAUGAGCAAAAAACAUUUCCCUUUUGGUGCAAACCCCGAAGGGACAGAAGGCAGCAAGCUCUGAUCACGGAAGAGAAGGAGCGGUCCAUUGCAUUUGCAAAUCAUAAGGUCCCAACUGCUGAAUCUCACUGAAGUCAGUGGUUGCAACAGCGAAGUAAUUCAGCUGUCUGAGGGAAAUACAUGGAGAAGAGCCCGUGUCUCCAGCUGCAUGGUUACCACACAGCAAAGAGGGUUAUAUAUUAAAAUUGUGAGACUGUUUAAGCGCUCUGUAAUUAACUGCUGUCUAUUUAACCAGACAGCUAAAGCAAGUUAAUUCGCUGUCAGUUAGGAGACUUAUUAAGCAUCUGCAGGUUUUUCUUUUUAACAAUUUACUGGUCCAUCAUUAACUACCCCUAGAUUAUCUUGUCAAAUUGAUAAUUAAAUGCCUCAAAAAUUCAUUACAGACUCAAUAUAUUAAUAGGAAUAUAAUUAAGUAAUGUUUGCUUAUGCGAUCUGCAGUUUAUUACCUGCAUGCUGAUUUAUCUCCAAGGCAUUUACUAAACCUUAGCUGUAGCCUAUUCAGAAUCAAUACAGGCCCAGGAGUCAAUAAACACCGCAUUAGAUGCAAACAAGCUGUUUAAUUGGGAGAACGCAUUGAAGUUGUCUUCUGGAUCUCCUGUGAGUUUGAUAAGGGAGGUGUGAUCUUAGGAGCACCGACCAAAACUCGUGGUUGCUAUUUUAUGGCUGGGUCAGAAUCGUGCCUGAAGAACUGGUCUGAUUUUGUUGCCUGUUUGCACUGGGUUCUGUGGUCUGUAGGAAGCUGCCUAAAUUGGCCUUACUGUGCUAGUAAGUUGGUGCAAGGGUAAAUCAGAGGCUCUAUUUUGUACCAAACGCUGGAGUUGACUUCUCUUGUCCUGCUUAAGAAAGAUGACAGCCAAACCAUUCCCUUACAUUUGUAAACCCUUGAACUCUGCACGUAAGGUGGAUUUUUCAGGAACCUUAAAAGUCACUUCAUUAACUUUAUUAAGUUUGAAUUUCGGGAAACUAAUUUUUUAAAACGGGAGGGGAACAAUGCUGCUUCUGCUCCGAGUAACAGAGAAGAUGGAACAAAACAGCAUAGGCCUGCUGUAUGCAGAAAUUAAGGGAAACCGUGUGCACAGCUGUGCUUCAAGACAUCGGCUUGCAGUUAAGAUACAUUAUCACUGGUUACCAUCUGCCUGCAUUAACCAACCUGCAGCUCGGCUAUCGAUCAAGAUAAUAAACCUGGGGGGAUGUGGCCACCCUUCCUUUGCAGCUGCAUGUGCCUCAUGAUGUUGUGGUGUUGGUGGCAGGAGGUAUCUGGACCCCAGGGUGCACCCGAAGCUGCCAUAGCUGCACCCAUCCACAGAGCCAUCUCGUGGGGGUUUUGCAAGCUAGAGCUCCGGGUUUGGUUUUGUGGCUUUCUUGUUAAUUUUAAAGACUGGGGAGUUCCCGUGAAGAUGGGUUCAAGCUUGUGUGUACGUGUGUAUGAAAUGCAUGAUUUAAGAAUAAAUAGUAAGCUGAAUUAUUUCAAAUCGCAGCAUCACAAACCCCGUAAAGUGGAGAGUUAUAUUGAAAAGAAAUUAUAAACGGUUAAAGUAAAACCACAGAGUAUCUGAGCUGGGAAGGACCCACAGGGAUCAUCGAAUCCAAGUCCUGGCUCCACACGGGACUACCUAAAAAUUAAACCAUAUCAGAGCAUAACAGCAUCGUAGCAGCCCUCUGAGGGACUUGAGCUUCCCUGUGCUGUCCAGUGGUGUUACAAAACAACUGUAUUGUCCUCAAGAAGACAUUUUGGUGCUCUGUGGCCCUGAUUAGGUGAAAUUAAUGUCUUACGUGCUAUAUCGACGUUUAGGUCGUCCUUCUACCCCUUGGGGGUGACUAUUAUUGCUUUGCUGCCCUGCUUUGAGCUACGGUGCCCUUUCCAGGAGGAGGCAGGGGAAAGAAGCUGGCAAUAUAUCAGAUGGUUUUCCUUUUUCUCCACUGUUAAACUGACAUUAAUGACAACCAACCUAUGAUGGACUGUGUGAAUACAGACCGGAAUCCAAGACAGCUCUGACACGUGACUCAUUUGUGAGCAUAUCUCUGGGGUUUAACUUUUAACUGUGUUUUUUUGGUUGUUUUUUUUUUGCCCAACUUAGGGCUAAUUCAGCUUUGGGUUUCACUCUCAAAUAUAUUCGGGCUGUUUUCUUUUCAAAACUGGUAUAAAAACUGGCAUUCUACUAUUUGUAUUAUACGAGAGGCUGGCCAGAACCGAGCUGAGCAUUCCUGGAGCAGAGUUCCCAGCAGGCAUGUUUGUGUGUGUGCAGCCCUCAGUGUCUGCCAGGCUCUUCUGUAAAGUGUUUAUAAUACCUAAAAUUAAAAUAAUAAUAAUAAAAAAAAAGCAGGAUUUUCAUCUGGAAAACAUUCAGUUCCAGGGAAGCCUUCUUGCUGGAGGAGCAGAUAUGAGGGCAAAACUGGAGCUGGUAUUUACAGGGCGUUUUUCCAUGCGUUCUAUGUGUGCAUCAUCCUUCCCUUCGUCUGUCUGGAUACAGAGCCUCGCAGGUCCUGACCAGGAAUGCAGAGCUGUUGUAAAAUUCACACAUGCUUGUCUACUAAGAGCCUGUGCAUGGGAAAUUUGGUUAGGAAAUAUUUUCCUGCUUCAUCCUUCUCGGAGCUUUACUGGAAUUGUAGCUGAACCAAACUUUUCUGAAAACUCUGAAAUGCUUCAGUAACUUCUGUUUGUUUUCCUCAUGCCUCUCUACUUGGUUUCUGGCAGGGCCUGAAAGCAGCACUGAGUCACUCGGUAAAGAAGCCUAUUUUGACAGCAUCCCCCUGGCCUAAGCAGGAAGUUCUCCAAGUCUGAAGACAUGGAGAGUUCUGGAUCUCGCAUGGUUAAAGCCCAGAUGUGCAAACCCUGAGAGGUGCUUAAGCUUCUGGAAAUGUUUAGACCGUGCAAAACUGGCAGUGCCGAGAGCCUCAUCUGUCACCGGAGUCAACCAAAAAGGUGUCUGCAGCACAAAUCCCCAAUCCUACGGUCACAUUCUUUGAAGUUCUGUUCUCUAACAUGACUAUUUUUAACAAAGGGGAGGGGGACAGUGGGGAGAAGCUCCAUCUUACUCACCAAAUCUGCGGGCUCCCUGUGUUCUGAGUCAUAGCUGCUGGCUGCACUGACAAAAGCAAGCUUUUUUAAUUUGAUUUCUACCCUCAUUGGUACAGUAGAGGGGGCACAGCAAAGACAGGGACAGCAGUAGGAUUGUGCAAGCAUCAACAAGAUGAUAAAUGGAUCCAUCAGUUUUCCUUGCUGGGAAUAAUAAUAAAGAGAAGCCCGAUUUUUCUCCCAGACCUCAGCAGGAGUUUUGCAAGGUAGAAAUCGGGCAUGGGAAGGAAGGAGGUUAGGAGGAAGAGGUGGAAAGUUGUUCGUCAGUAGAAGAGAGAUACAACUAUGAGCAUUCGAUGUACCACCAUCGUUCCUCUGUACAACACCAUGUCAGUGUUGCUUUACAUAGAAGAGACACUGAAGCAGAUCCCUCCACAAACCAUACAUCUGACAAAUGGGCAUCUCCCAGCAGUGCCUGUGUGUGAUGUGAUGCUAAGGAAGGUGCAGAGGCGGUCACCCUGUGUGAAUCCAACCACCUGCCUGCGUCUUCUGCAAUGAGGAAGGAAGGGAAACAAGUGAAGGAUCGAAAGGGGAAGAGCUGGGUCUCUUGGUAUUCGCUAGCUAUACGGUGCCUGCCAUGAACGAGUCAGCACUUGUUAGCACUUCCUACGUGGUGGGAUGUGGCACACCACACUCCUCACCCCGUGCACAGAAGAGGAAAUUGCUGAUAACUGUGAUAGUUUGCUGUUGGGCUACCUCACUUCGGUUAUCUAAACUGUUAUAAAAUACAUCAAGGUGAAGAAAGGGGCCUUUCGGUUGCAUGCUAAAUAUCACCCUGCUUUCUGUACUCCAACAUUAUCUGUUGCUGCUCUGCACUGUCAAGCUGAGAUCUCACCCCGAAGCAGUUGUGUUUCAGCACUGAAUACAGCAAUUCCUAACAUGUGAAUGGCCGUACGCCUCAUGCUCCCACAGCCAAAAUCUCCAUUAGAGCUUAUUUUAUAGCAGUUCAUACCUUUGUGUUUGCAGAAGACUUUGGGUACCAUCUGGGAAAAAUUGUUCUUUGUUAAAUUCUCCUUUAUUCCCUUUGGGUUAUGUUUUUAAGGCAGGAGAUGCUGAAGGAUGUUCUGAGGACGGUAAAAGCAGCUUGAAAUGAAGAUGUAGGAGGAAAAGUACUCAAGCUGUUUUUCUGCUUUUGCGAUUGAAAGGAAACUCAUGAUAUAGCAAAUUUUCAAUGGCACAAGAAAUUCUGCUGUCUACUUCAACAUGGCACUAUUAGGCCAGCAACAGGGGGAGCAGCUGCUCAGCCAUUGUAUAAUUGACAUCGCUGAUAAUGACCUUGGAUUCAUAAUUAAGGUUCAUGAGGAUCAGAGGAGGAAAAAAAAAAAAAAAACCCAGCCCUAUCCUUACAAAAAAAAAUGAUAUAAACAACUGUGUGAGUGAGCACAUUGGAACACAACUGAGGGCUGAAGAAAUCCUGCCAGUCCCAGGGCCCUGCAGGGGGUGAGAUGUGGGCGCUGGCGCUGGGAGAGUUUCCAGCUCUCUCCUGGUGAUGCUGAGCACUUGACCAGAAGUGCUGACAUUUUAAGAGGAGGUCAGAGAGGCUGGGGUUAGAACACGCUGCUGAAAACAACAAGAAAAAAGAAAGGGAAAAAAAAAGUAUUUUUGCUGGGAAUGAAUGGACAGGUUCAUGGCAGUAACACUGGAUCUGCAGCAAGGCGUGUUGCCUCCCAGUGUAAUCAGUGCCUCAAAAACACAUGCUGGCAUGUGUUGGAUGUCGAUACCUCCUUUAUCAUACAUAUUUGAGAGCUCAGACUUCAACUGCCACCUGAAAUGAGCACUGUGGUUUUCUUUCCCCACUCAGUGGGUUAUUUGGUUAUGAUUCUGUAUCCUUUCCUGAGGCUCUUUAGAGUUCCGUGUAACUUUCAUCCAUUUCUCUUUCUAGCAAAAAUAUAUUUCAGGAAGUUCCAUAAUUGCACAUGUCUAUAUGGUGAGGUUUGGCACAGAAAACCUGGUGUGAGGUUGGCUUUUUUCUUCCCUUUCAACUUACAAUGUUUAAAUAGGGUUCCUACACAGAUUCAAAAAACACAUUCUGCUGGGUCAUGCUGGAGCUUUGAGUCAUAACUUUUGUUAAACAGGGAAGAAAAUCCACCAAGUAUUAUGAUGCAAACAGUCCUUAUGGAGAAUCCCACACUGCUCCUGUGUGCAGAGAAUUUGCCACUCGGUUUCUGUUGUGCAUUUUGAACUACAAACCUGCAGGCAAGUGUGGCAGUGCUCAGAGUUCAGCAGAACUUGAGUACUCUGGGUUUUGUUUGGGUUGUGCUUUAUUAGGCUUUAGGCUAUUAAGGGAGGGGACUCCAAUUUCCUUUAAUAAAUAAUGUUUGCGUGCACUUGGGAAAUGGCAAUCAUGUUUUGCUAACUACUGAAACCUAAUGCAUGAGAAAUGUAAAGCUGGAUGAGCACCGUUUUAUUCCAGAGUUUGAGUUGCAUUCUUGGAUGGGGUUACAAGCCUUUUUGACUGUGGGGUAGGAGCUCUGAAGCGAUGCCUUUCAGAGCUGCCUCGAAACACCACUAAAUGACUGCUUUCAUGAGACUCAUUCUUAAUCAGGAGGCGCCUGGUACCUUAUGGAAGAUGGAUCCUGUCAAGCCAGACUUGGGAUUAUUUGUGAUGAAAUUAAAAAUAUGGUCAAUAAGAUACUUGUGGUUUGAGACUCAUGAAAAAUAUUUGUCUUGGUACUCAAAAUACUUAAACUAGAAUGAUUCAAAAUCAAUGUGGAAGAGUAAAAGGAUUAAACUGGCUUGGAAACACAUCCCAAAAGGUAAUUGUAAACAGGAAAUCAGAAUGGAGUGGGUGUAUUUCUCGUGGGGUCUCCAAGAUUGUUUUGUAGCUCUAAAUGACCGAAUGUUUUACAAAUGGCCAAGCAGAAAACAGCAGUCAGGCACCAGCGUGGCACAUGACACGAGGCCUGGUCAGGGGCUGCUUGGUGAGCUGAACAGGUGAAGCACCACGUUCUGUAGUGACCUCACGCCCAGAGAGGGGAGGUCUGGUGAAGCCAACUCCCUUCUGCUGCAGCCAUUUGCUCAGACCUCCUGGUGCAGUCCAUGAGCAUGUGAUCCUCGAGGGAAAGCAGCACGAACAGUGAUAAAAUACUUGAACUGCAGCUGUCCCCUAUGAGAAGCCACAGACAACACUGUCAGGGUGCCCUGGUUAUUGUCUGGCUCUGCAGUCCAUAUGAGAAGAAGAGUCAUCGAAACAAGGAUGGGCCCUACCAGUUAUGGGUGAGAUUGUGCUAGAAGAAGUUGAAAUGCGGAAGAGAAGUUGCUUAUGGCAUGUGAAGAAUGAGGCUGUUCGAGACAGGAUGCCAGGAGGUCUUUGACCUCCUAGUCAAUGAGGAAAGGUCCUUUUUUAGGCUCCUAAGUAUGCCUGGAUUCAGACAAAGUGUAGUUUGCUCCAGCCGAGCUCCCAGCCAUUUUCCCUGCUGAUGAGUUUUCCUGUUUACUCUCAUUGCACAGGGUGGACUGAUGGAGCUUACACUGACUUGGACAGAGUGGAGGAAGUUAAAUGUAGCAUCUGAAAGAAUAAAGAAUGAGAAUUAAGUACUGCACAGGCCGUGGGGCUGAGUUAAGGCCAUUAGUUGCAAGAAAGAAAUGGUAGUGGUAGGCAUUUCCAGAUCUGAGUGUAAGUGUAGCUGGAAGCUACAGGGCAGCAGGACCUCCUGGCUCUAGAUAAAAUAGAACAGUGCUUCCAGAGCUCCCUAAAAUACUCUUCCGUCAAAACUAAUGAACAGAUUACUUUCUGCCAGUGCAAGUGACUAGACAGGUAGCAACAGCAUUUAAAGCCUGAUCCACCUCUGUCAGAAGGUACACGGAGUAGGCACAGAACAACAGCUCGGGAUUGCCCAUCUGAGAUGUGAAGCAAGACUAAGUAUGGUUACUUGAAGAGGAAAUAAGGGUCAAGAUGUCCACUCAUGUCCACACAUGGCUUAUAAAACUGGUGAUUGGGUCGUCUUGGCUCUGUGACGAUGAUGUCCCUGCUGAUGGAGCCUUCUCCUGUCUCACCUCCCGGUGCUGGCUGGCUGCUGGCUUUGUUUUUGUUUCAGUUUUUUUUUCCCCUUCUAAGGGCUUAUAAAAGGCUGUUUAGUUUUGUUUUUAAAGGGUGAAGAGGGGAAAAAACAACUUCCAGAAAAAAAACAACAGCUCAAGCUCCAGGAGCCAGAUCUUAGCAUGAGAACCCGACUCACUGUAGGGGAGGGCUGUGUCAGAUCACUGCAUGCUCCAGGAGCAAGAAUUCAGUGCCUGCUGAAAAGCCACAGAACUCAGACCCUAUUUGAAAGAGUAACAUCUUUGAUAUAAAAAAACAAAAACAAAUAAACAACAACAGCAAAAAAAAACCCCAUCACCCAGCCAAUAAAAAGCCUCAGACAUACAGGAUCCCAUUCAUGGUGGGAGGGAUUUAGUGGAAGUAUUUUCCUUCUUUAAGGUUUGGCAUGGCCUUAAAGGAGUCUCUUUAAAAGCUUCCAGAGCCGAUUAUAUUUUGGAUUGUGUUUCACAUCACCCUUCCCCCACCACGUUUGGUGGGUCCUCAAACGAGUUCCCAGAAUAAAUCAGACAUAACGGUAGCGGGAUUUUAUUUUUUAUUUCAUUUUCUUUUUUUUUCUUGAGGAGGAGGAAGGAAUAAAUGACACCAAAUUCUGUAAUGGAAAGAAAAAAAAAAAUAGUGUGUAUCGGAAACUGCUGCUGAGUGACUCACGCUGCCGGACAAACGGAACCUCACUCAUCACUCCAUCUUCAUCCUCCUCCUCUGCUGAGGUUGUCAUCAUCCUAUGAUGCCUCUUUCAGUACAACUACUUCACUUCCACAUCUUCCCAUUAUGAAGCUCUGCCCUCCAUCCAGCACUGUAUGCUCUCUACAACCCAGCUUUCCUCAUCAUCAGCUCAGGUUUGUGCAUCAUAGUGUCUGCAGAACUGCAAGAGCCCCCAGGAUGCUGGAAAGGAGCAAUGCCAAAAGCGGGGAGUGGCCUGCAGCAGCAACUUGGGGCAGCCACAAGCCAUCUGGGAACACAGGACAAGGGCAGUGGUUUUCUUUGCCCAAUUGACACCCUGCAGGGAUAAUAUACAGAAAACCUGCCCUUUCAACAAGAGAUAUCCUUUCCUUUUGUUGGCAUGCAGCUACCAUGGAGCACCUUUCCUCACCCACAGCCCUUCCCUGGGCUCAUGAAGCCCCAUCUCCGUUCUGUUCCUGGCACAGCUGGGGCAACAGCGAGCCCUGCUCCUGCACCCCAGUGCCUGCAGGCCAAGGACGAGCCCCAGCUGCCUUCCCCAGCUGAGCCUCAAACCUGGCCAUGGUAAUGGAGGAGGUGAUGCUCUGAUAGAAGUUUUCAGCACCUGCCUGCUGAG